rnacentral:rRNA from 1 species
UACGAGGGGGGCUAGUGUUGUUCGGAAUCACUGGGCGUAAAGGGAGCGUAGGCGGGGGCUCAAGUUGGGUGUUUAAUUCCGGGGCCCAACCCCGGGCGUGCACUCAAAACUGGGUUUCUUGAAUAGGGGAGAGGUCGAUGGAAUUGGAGGUGUAGCGGUGGAAUGCGUAGAGAUCUCCAAGAACACCGGUUGCGAAGGCGGUCGACUGGACCCAUAUUGACGCUGAGGCUCGAAAGCGUGGGGAGCAAACAGG